rnacentral:misc_RNA from 1 species
AAGUCGUAACAAGGUUUCCGUAGGUGAACCUGCGGAAGGAUCAUUAACUAUUAUGAUAUAAUCCUUUGUGAAUUUAAAGCAGAAAUGCUUUACUAUAUGCAUUAGUGGGAUUAAAUUAAAAAAUGAAAACAAUUUUUAACAAUGGAUCUCUAGGCUCUU